rnacentral:lncRNA from 1 species
CUCCUUAUGCCCCUUAAACAACAAUCAUAAAGGCCCAGGCCCACCUACAGCAAUAGCGAUCCCGCCGACCCAUCAAGGGCAAGGAGCAUUCCACUCCGCCUCACUCAACCCAAGGUCCUGGGGUCCGACAUGCUCGACCCCUCGCUGGCGAAACUCCGCCUCGCCCGACCCACGGUCCCAAGGUCGGAUGCACCCGACCCCUCGCCGCACGGCUCUGCCUCGCCCGACCCCGGGCGUAGGGGGUCAGA